rnacentral:lncRNA from 1 species
UGAGAUUUUUUUUAAACCUGAUGUCACAUCCAGGACAAACAAGAGAAGUCCUUUUAACCAAAUAGGACUCCUAUAUAACAAGAGUCUUUGAGAAGAGAGUCGUAUGACCUAAGAUGUCCCCUCCAACUACUUUGAUAUAAUGGCACAUGGAAGUGUGUCAUAAAGUGGGAGAAAAAGUGCAAGAAUUCCUCAAGACCCAUAUGUCCAACACCAUAUGGAAGCUGCCAAGGCUUGAAGCAAUGGCCUAAGCUGGAUCUCGACCCCUUUUAGCCACAGCUGAAACUGGAAUGGCUGGGAUGCAGGACACCAAGUCCCAAGGCUGCACAGAGCAACAGGUCCCUGGGCCAGGCCCAGCAUUAGGCCUAUCAAGUGUCAUGCACAGCUCAAGAGGAAAUGCUAUCUGGAAAUCCCCCAACUCCCAUGGAAAUUCCCAGCUGGCUCCCUGUACACUGCAGAUACCUGAAGUGGUUUUGAAGACUGGGCAGCUAAGACCUAAGUGAAGAAGAAUUCCUCCCCUGCAAGGAUGACCAAGAACCCAGCCGCUCUGUUUCCUUCCCGACUGGAGUCCUCUUCUCCACUGGGACCAGCUGUAUCCACCUGACCUCCAAGAGCACUCUCCAUGCCACGCACAGGGCACUGAGUGAACACCCACCUCAUUUCUCCCAGCAUGGAAAGUCAUUCCAGGAAUUCUGUGGGCAGUGGAGAGGCCCUUCCCCUUCCAGCAUGGGAAAGCCAGGCUGGUUGGGAAGCAGCUCAACUCAAGCUGCUGCUGAUACAGGUGCCCUCUCCUAGCCCCUCCCUUGUCCCCACCUGCAUUUCACCUCAAUUUCUAUCUGCAUAUGUGUCAAGUUCUCCCAAAUCCAGCAGCCACCAUGCCUGGCCUCACCAAGGGCUUGCCUCAUCUGAGCUAUUUCAGUAUAAAUAUUG